AAUCAACGCUGGCGGCGUGCCUAACACAUGCAAGUCGAACGCGAAAGCCCCUUCGGGGGUUAGUAGAGUGGCGUCCGGGUGAGUAACACGUGGGUAAUCUGCCUUCGGGUGGGGAAUAACCCAGGGAAACUUGGGCUAAUACCGCAUAAUGCAGCGGCACCUAAUGGUGAUUAGUUGUUAAAGCGGGGGAUCGCAAGACCUCGCGCCUGAAGAGGAGCCUGCGGCAGAUUAGCAGUUGGUGAGGUAAUGGCUCACCAAGGCUUCGAUCUGUAGCUGGUCUGAGAGGACGGCCAGCCACACUGGCACUGACACACGGGCCAGACUCCUACGGGAGGCAGCAGUGGGGAAUUUUGGGCAAUGGGCGAAAGCCUGACCCAGCAACGCCGCGUGAGGGAGGAAAUCCUUCGGGAUGUAAACCUCACAAGCAAGGGAAGAGAGCUGCAGGCUGAAUAAU
rnacentral:rRNA from 1 species